GAUGAACGCUGGCGGCGUGCCUAAUACAUGCAAGUCGAGCGAACGGACGAGAAGCUUGCUUCUCUGAUGUUAGCGGCGGACGGGUGAGUAACACGUGGAUAACCUACCUAUAAGACUGGGAUAACUUCGGGAAACCGGAGCUAAUACCGGAUAAUAUUUUGAACCGCAUGGUUCAAAAGUGAAAGACGGUCUUGCUGUCACUUAUAGAUGGAUCCGCGCUGCAUUAGCUAGUUGGUAAGGUAACGGCUUACCAAGGCAACGAUGCAUAGCCGACCUGAGAGGGUGGUCGGCCACCCUGGAACUGAGACACGGUCCAGACUCCUACGGGAGGCAGCAGUAGGGAAUCUUCCGCAAUGGGCGAAAGCCUGACGGAGCAACACCGCGUGAGUGAUGAAGGUCUUCUGAUCGUAAAACUCUGUUAUUAGGGAAGAACAUAUGUGUAAGUAACUGUGCACAUCUUGACGGUACCUAAUCAGAAAGCCACGGCUAACUACGUG
rnacentral:rRNA from 1 species